AUGAUUUAAUCAGUAUUUAUUUUGAAUAAUAUUUAAAUGUUUUCAUUGUUGUGAGUAGUGAUUUAUUUUUGGCAUUUGUGUCAACAUGCAGUUAUGAGGCCUUUUCACAGUUUUCUUAUAAUCAUUUAUAUCUCCAUUCUUUUAACAGAGCUUCCCACAGUAGUGACGAAGUUGAAAGAAGUGAUUGGACAAAUAACACUUCAGACCUCACCUACUGCAUCCACUUCUGCAACACCUUCAACAUCAGUAGACUCUGCAUGUGUUUCUCCUCAAGUGUUGUCUGAUGAUAUGACCAUGCUCUGUCAAAGUUCCCUGACAUCACCAUGCAAGAUGUGAGAUGCAUCAUAAGAAAAAAAUGCAACAACGAAAACUACAUCAACUAACUACACGACACACACACACACACACACACACACACACACACACACACACACAUAUAUAUAUAUAUAUAUAUAUAUAUAUAUAUAUAUAUAUUCAUUAUAAAUUGUUAACAGUUGAUUUUAUUAUUGUUUCUAUUAUUAUUAAUAUUAAAUUUUAUGUUUAUUCAUAUUAUUAAUUUUACAUUUUUGCAGUGGUCUUUUAAAGUUUACGUUUUAUAUAUUUAUAAAUAAUUUAUGAAUUCAUAUAUAUUAUUUUUUUUUUUUUUUUUUUUUUUUACAGUGGCUAGUAUUAUUAUUAUUAGUAGUAUUGUAAAUAUUACUCUUAUUAUUACCAUCUUCAUCAAUUCAUUGUUUUAAACUGUCAUUUAAACCGUUAUUUAAACAGUAUUUGUGUGAAAACACCAGAUCCAAGCAAACAGGCUUUUAAUAAUAGGCAUUGUCUUGUCUUGUGUACUGUUGAUUGGGAAAUUUGAUCAGUUUCCUAGAGAAAUAGCCCGCUUGAUCAUACAUGACCACACAAAUGGCCAUUCUGUGUAGUUUGCCGUAGAUCAUACUAUCAAUACUUGAAGUCUCGCCCGAUCCGAGCGUGGUGGGCUAACAGCAUGUGUAACUCUAUCACCCGCACUAACCACUCAUGACUUCUCUGGGUACAACUGAUUAUGGUGAUAAAUUUCCUUGUAGGUGAUUAUAAUCAGCCUUCUUCCUUCUUUCUUUUUUUUUUUCUUUCCUUUAUUUUGUUUUGUUUCCCAUUGCUUCUCUCGCUUUGCAUCGUGAUUGCAUGCCAUCUGCUGGUUUAACCUAAUGAUGGCUCGCUGCUCUGUAAUAUACACCAUUGCCUAAACAACUAAAAGUAACUCUAUCACCCGCACUAACCACUCAUGACUUCUCUGGGUACAACUGAUUAUGGUGAUAAAUUUCCUUGAGGUGAUUAUAAUCAGCCUUCUUCCUCUUCUUUUUUUGUUUUUCUUUCCUUUAUUUUGUUUUCGUUUCCAUGUCUUCUCUCGUCUUUGCAUCGUGAUUGCAUGCCAUCUGCUUAGGUUUAACCUAAUGAUGGCUCGCUGCUCUGUAAUAUACACCAUUGACUAAACAACAAACCAAAAAACAAACUACAAAAUCCUUACCAACCAAUCAAACACCUGUUGCCAUGGUUUCCAUAAUGCUCCACCUACCUGUUCAUUGCUUCCAUGGUUCCCUUCCUGAAAAAGUACCCAUGAUGUACAGUGCUACGCCUGCUACUGUCUCUGCAGCAACAACUCCUGCCACAAGUGUCCCCUACGCAACAACAGCACCAGCCA
rnacentral:lncRNA from 1 species